ensembl:lncRNA
AAAAAAUUAAAAAUCUUUACUUUACAAAGUACUUAUUAUUCAGUGCUUUACAGUGGAAUGACUGUAAAUUACAGUGGUUUUGUUUCUCUGCUGUGUUGUGAUUUCCCAUCAGUCACAUGACCCGUAUCUGAGAUCAUAUCUCUGAUAUCUCAUAGCUUAUGUGUUAAAUACUUUCAGUUUUGUUUUGAUGCCUGAUCAAAAGGUUAAAUUGGAACAUUUACCAUGUUCAGAUGGCUGAAUAUGCUGCUGCUGUUUUGCUUUAUCAAUUAUAGAGAAACAACCAUAGGAAAUAUCCUUAUACACGUGACAGGACAAAAAGGAGAAGAUGUCACCCUGCCAUGUGAUAUUCAAGCCAGAGAGAUUUUUCAUUUCAUUUUAACCAGUCUGUCAAAAAGCAUCUUUGUUUGUCAGAAUGAAGAGUGUACGAGUAGCCGAGUAUUUAAAAAAGGAGCCUGUGACAUCAUCAUCAAGGAUCUGAGACUGAGUGAUGCUGGGAAAUACAUUUUGAGAGUCCAUUACAAUAAUACUGCAGAGCCACAAAUCAGGGAGUACCAUCUUCAAAUUCAAGAUGAAAUUUCUGUGAAAACAGGCGAGCAGGUGAAGUUGGAUGUUUUGUUUUCCCGUGCUGAUAAAGUAGAGACAAACUCCAGUGGAGAGUGGAGGGAGGUGUGGAAGAGAGGUCAUGGGGUCUGGAGUGAACGAAUGACUGACCGUGAUGGGAACUUGACCAUUAAAGAGUUUACAUCCAAUGAUACAGGAACAUACAGGGUUCUGGACUCUGAAGGAGAAAUCUUGAUCACAGUGACUGUCACAGGUGAGAGAAGUUCAGUGGAUGCUAGGAAUAUUAUUUAUAAAGUGCACAGCUGAGGUUUACUCAUUAUGAUUUGAACAGCAAUGCUAAAUGUUAAGACUAACCUUUCAAUAUUCUUUACAGAAUCUAGUACAGAAUCUGACUCAAAGAGGACAGAUGAUGACAAACCUUAUGACUCUGAACAGCAUAGUAAGUAGAACAGGAGUCAUUGAGAACUUUACAAAAUAUUUAAGUGAGUUUAAAAAAGAAAAAACAAAAAUGUAUCUUUUCACCUUCCAGCUGUAAAGAUUGUGAUUGGUGUACUGACUGUGUUUGGAGUUCUGGGGGUUCUGGCUCUUAUAAUUUUUGUAAGAAAAAUUAUAAACCUACCUGCAAAUGGAGGUUUCUUGCCAGUCCGCUGGAUAAGAGGGACACCUGAAGACUCAUAAUAUUCUCUCCUGAGGUACAUCUCUGCCAUUGCAGAACAUCUACUGGUGUUCAUCAACUGGUUACUUGAAAUUCACCUUCAGAGCCAACAGAUCAACACAGGAUUCUGUCAACAUACCGAAUGUCUGCAAUGUGUGCAAUAGUUAUCAGCUGUAAAUGUGAAACUGACAAUAUCGACAUUAUCUAAACGCCACUUCAGAUGCAGCUUCUGUGCCAAAGAUGGAUUUUGUUGAUUUCUUUUGAUUUGUAACAGCCUAAUUGUGUCUUAUACUAACUUAUUAUGGAUUAAAUGUAGGAAUUUGUCAUAAAAGAUAAUGCCUUUAUCUAAACAGGUUGGACAAAAUGCCCAUAUAAAGAUAAAAAAAUGCCCCGGGAAAUUAAUUUAAGAGAGAAAAUGUUACAUUUAAUGCAGAUAAGAAUAUGAAAAGCUUUUUUUGUAAGACAGGCCUAAACCAGUCAAGACAAACCAGCACAAAAACUCUAAGCAAAAUAUCAUCUAAUUAUCAUUAUCAACAAAAUGCCAGAAAAUACUGAGAUAUCAUAUGUGCGUAACUGAGAACAAUAUUUAAUAUGUAUGCUUUGUACAAAUGUGUUGAAAAAAUAUGUCAAGAUGAGGAAGAAUGUGUCCAAAGUUAAGUCUGUGUUCCUGACAAGUUAAACAACUUAUUCUUAUUUUAAGAAAAAAUAAACUAGGUCGAAAAAAAAACA